rnacentral:lncRNA from 1 species
AUGGCCAUUAGAGGGCGCCCGGGAGCAAGCCCGUCCGCUCUCGCACCACUUCCCACGGCAGCCCUCCUGGCUUCCAGCUCCGCCAUGCUCUCUGAUUCCUGCUCUCAGAUUUUGCACAAAGGAAAAAUGACCCCAGAGGAUUUGCUAUAUAGGUAGGUAUCAGGAGGCUGAAAUAUUUAUUGCUCCCUGAUUUCUUUAAGUACAGUCAUGACUACUUGUGAAAAUGAGAAUGAGGAGGACCUCUUGUCAGCAAAUGUGGCAUCCUUGGGAUCAAUGUCUUUCCUACAUACAGGAAAAGGCACUCCAACCUUAACUUAAAACACCAAGUACAAGUACUAAGCACAAUUACUAAAUGGGUAAUCACGCCUACAUAUUCAUAUCUCAUUUGACCCUAAGAGCAUCCUUCCCUUUGAGAUGGGAAGAAAAUAGUAUUAUCUUAAAAUUAUCUUCUUUUCAUUGAAGAGAAUACAUGUUCAGAGAUGGUAAGAUGGGUAAGAGCCUAGGUAUGCUGCUUAAACCUGCCUCCUGAGUCUAUCACGCUAAUAGUGAGAGGUUUCUAUGUCUGUUUCCUCAUCUUUAAAGUGGUGAUAAUAAUACUGACUUUAUAGGGUUGGUGGAGGGUUGAGUUAACUUAAAUAGAGUCCUGAGAGCAGAGCAUUACAACAGGUAUUCAGCAAGUGUAAGCUGGUAUAAUAUAAUUUGGUAAUUAGUAGUAAUAGUCUGAAUUAGUAAGUGGAAGAAUUGGGUUUUGAAAAUAAGGUCCAACUCCACAUUUAGUGUUCUUUUAAUCAUAGAACACUUGUCUUAGAUUACCUCACUAUUCCUAGGGAGGUCAAUUAGGUAUUAUAUGGCACCACAGAAAGACACAAUUGAAUAAAGAUAGUAUUAUAUAUUAUAUAAAUAUCACCAAUUUAGUGCUCAAAUGCUAACUUGUUACUUAAAAUUAUAAGCAUUACUAAAGUACACAGUAUUUUUACACAGCUUCAAAAAAUUUUAUAUGUAGGAGUGCCUGGGUGGCUCAGUCAGUUAAGUGUUGGACUCUUGGUUUUACUCAGGUCACGAUCUCUGGUCUUAAGAUUGAGCCCCGGGUGAGCUUUGUGCUUAGUGGAGUCUGCUUCAGAUUCUCUCUCCUUCCCGCUCACUCUGUCUCUCUCAAAUAAAUAAAUAAUCAAACAAACAAAUAAAUAAUUUAAAAAUAAAAAAUUUGUAUGUAGUAAAACUCACCUUCUUAAGUAUAGAGCUCUGAGUUUUGACAAGCACAUACAGUUGUGAACCACUAACACAAUCAAGGCAUAGAACAGUUCUUUGAGUUUAUUUUUGAGCAAAAACUUUGGUGAAUAUUCUAGAAGGAAUUUUUCUAACAUUAGAAGCCAUAAUAAGCACAUUUCCUUGAUGCAGGGACUUAAAGGUAUUUGAAAAUUGGAUAAGAAUUCUCCACUCAUUUAUGUAUUGAUUCAGGAAGUGUUUAGUGAGUUUUUUCUAUAUGUAUAGACUGUGUUGUUGUCUAUGAAGAUGUGGAGAAAGUAUAAUCGCUUUGUUUUGCAUUUCUACUUUGGUGCUAACAGAUUAAUCAGGAGAGGGAAAUAAUGCAGUUUUCCUAAAUUCAUUUUAAAAAGAAGGCAUGAGAAGAAGGAUGAUGAAGUGUCAGUGCUUCUCUAAUAAGCAUGUAUUAAAAAAUAAUAUCCUCGGGAUGCCUGGGUGGCUCAGUGGUUGAGCAUCUGCCUUUGGCUCAGGGUGUGAUCUCGCCGCCCCAGAAUCGAGUCCCGCAUUGGACUCCCUGCAUGCAGCCUGCUUCUGUCUCUGCCUAUGUCUCUGCUUCUCUCUCUCUCUGUCUCUCAUGAAUAAUAAAUAAAAUCUUUAAAAAAAAUAUCCUUCCUCCCACAAUAAAACCUGCAACUCGGUUUAAUUUCUCAAUAUUGGCUGCAGACCAUCUAUCUCUGGGUGGACACAAUCCCUGUCCUAAGCAGUUUAUAGUACAGUAGAGCAGAUAAUUAUAAUACAAGGCAGAAAUUUAUCAGAGGUACACAAUGAUAUGUAUUCAGAGAUGGGGGAGGUAAUGGUGGGAGAAUUCAUAAAGGCUUUAUAAAAGGUAUAGUAUUUAAGUAGGGUCUUGAAAAAGAGGUAGAAUUUCAACAAGUGCUAUUCAUGGAGAGAGGAGAAAAGUUCAUAUGCAUGCUAUAAAGGUGCUGCAUUGUCCAAUCUGGUAGCCACUAGCCAUACAUGGCUAUUUCAAUUUAAAUGAAAAUAAAAUUAAAAUAAAAAUACAGCUCCUCAGUCACACUAGUCACAUUUCAAAUACUUAACAGCCACAUGUGGCUAGUGACUACUGUAUUAGACAGGAUAGAGUAGAACAUUUCCAUCACAACAGAAAGUUCUAUUAGAUAGUGUUUCUAUAGAAGGAAUGACAAUGAAAGGUCAGGAGGUGGGAACAAUGAAUUAUCUAAAUUUCUGUUCAAGCCUUUGAACAAAAUACCAGAAAUAAUGGUAUAUCUAUGUAUUUCCUUCUCAAAUAUAAAUUGGAAAUAUAAGCCUAUGUAAAGAUCAAUGACUCAUUUAUUUCACUGGCUGGUCUGGUUCAAUAAUCAUGCUGAGUUCAUGGUAUAAAUCAAUAAUGAAGACAUAAGACUUAACAGGCCUAUCUAAUUGCUCCAUCUAUCUGAGCAUGCAGAUCACAGUGGCUGAAAGCCAGGCCCUAGGGCCUAGCCAAGUGUGGGUGCUGCUGUUUUUUCUGGCAGAUUCCUGUUAGCUGACUGGGUCCAAGCUGAAUGACUUGGGCUGUCAUAGAUGCAGUUCCCUAAAACCAUGCUCAUUGUUAAAUCAUCUGCUUCUUUUUGGAAGUAGUGGCAGUAUCCAUUGUAAAACCUAAAGGCAGAUAGAGGUUUGAGGAAGCUAUAACUCAGAGAAACAAGUCCUGCCACAUAAAUAUGGAUGAACCGGGUGAUGUGUGACUGCAGUCAUUGAUAAACUUGUGAAGGUAUAGAAUUUAGCCUUUAGGUAGUAGGAGCUGUUUUCUGCUCUUUCUGAAGGGCAGUUUGGUUAACCCAUACAAAGUUGUAGUGCUGUUCUUACAGAACCAAUAAGGUCAUCACUUCCCUGGGUCCAAAUGGAUAGAAGUAUGUCAGACCAGGAAACCAUGUAUCAAGGUUUUCCAUAUCUAUGAGAGUCUAAAAUGUGUGUCUUCAUUGGCUUAAGAAAAAAUCUAGAAUAUCAAUUAUCUGAGGAAACCAAAGACAGUCCCAAGUAUACUGAAUUAAUAUCUUUUGGUUGAAUGGUCCUACUUAAUUUUAUAUUCAAUCAUUGCUUACAGUUUAACUUUGAGUCCUUUAAAAUAUUAUUCAAUAAUAAUUGACUUUUAAUAUGCAUUUUUAUUUUUGGACACCACCGUUAGGUGUUUCACUUAUCUAUGCUCAUUAGACAGCAAAAAAAUGUUCUUUCAAAAAAAUUAAGAGUACCAGGAAAAGACAGGGGGAAAAACAGUGAGCUGCUAACUUUAAAUAAUUACUUUUUAAAAGUAAGAUUAUUAUAUGGAUAACACACAUUCUAUAUAUAUAUAUAUAUAUAUAUAUACUGAUUUUGCUUUUCUUAUGAGGAAGCUUUAGAACCAUAUUUUUCCUCCAAAGAUUGGUAUUUAGAAGAGCCAUCUAAGCCAUCUUGCAACAUUAUUAACAUAUAAACAUAUUUUCAUAUAAUGUCAACCAAUAGA